UCCUGCCCAAUGAUUAUUUAAAUGGCUGCAGUAUCUUAACUGUGCAAAGGUAGCGUAAUAAUUAGUCUUUUAAUUGUGGACUUGUAUGAAUGGAUUUAUGAGGGGUUUAUUUUAUUAAUUUUAUUUUUAUAAUUUAAUUUAUGAGUAAGAAAGCUUAUUUUUUAUUUCGGGACGAUAAGACCCUAUAGAACUUAAAUUUAGUGUUUAUUUAUUUUAUUUUAGUUGAGUUUUUCUAUAAUUAAUUUUAAAUUUUUAUUGGGGUGAUAAAUAAAUUUUAACUUUAUUUUUUUUUUUCAUUAAUUUAUGUAUUUUUGAUCCAUUUUUUGAUUAUAAGAUUAAGUUACCUUAGGGAUAACAGCGUAAUUUUAAUGGGGAGUUCAUAUUUAUAUUAAAGUUUGCGACCUCGAUGUUGAAUUAAGAUAAGGUUAGGGGGUAG
rnacentral:rRNA from 1 species